GACGAACGCUGGCGGCGUGCUUAACACAUGCAAGUCGAACGGUGAAAGCGGAGCUUGCUCCGCUGGAUCAGUGGCGAACGGGUGAGUAACACGUGGGCAACCUGCCCCUCACUUCGGGAUAACUCCGGGAAACCGGGGCUAAUACCGGAUAUGACCUCCUUGGGCAUCCUUGGUGGUGGAAAGUUUUUCGGUGAGGGAUGGGCCCGCGGCCUAUCAGCUUGUUGGUGAGGUAGUGGCUCACCAAGGCGACGACGGGUAGCCGGCCUGAGAGGGUGACCGGCCACACUGGGACUGAGACACGGCCCAGACUCCUACGGGAGGCAGCAGUGGGGAAUAUUGCACAAUGGGCGCAAGCCUGAUGCAGCAACGCCGCGUGAGGGAUGACGGCCUUCGGGUUGUAAACCUCUUUUAGUAGGGAAGAAGCGAAAGUGACGGUACCUGCAGAGAAAGCACCGGCUAACUACGUGCCAGCCGCCGCGGUAA
rnacentral:rRNA from 1 species